CUGCUGGAGCAGUUGAACAACUUUGGAGAAUUAGGAAUAACAGAAGGGAGUGCAGGGUCUUUUCAAGAGCUGUUCUUGGAAUGCUGAAGAAGAACUCACUCAGAUAAAGGAACCAGCACGAGGAGCCGUAGUGACCGAGGAAACAGUUUGCUAUGGCGGUUGCAAAGGAACUGAAGUGAUGUGGACCAAGAAUAGACCAAUCGCGUGUCAGAUAAUCAAAGUUGUCCAUGAUGACAGCCACAAAGAGGUUAAUAAUCUUAAAAACAAU